AGUGAGCCCCCUGAGGGCCCGAAGGCGGUGAGGGUAGGACACCGGGAGAGGGAAUUCCCCAGCCCAUCCGCCACCUUCUCCCCGUGGUCGUUCAUGCGGAGAGCCAAGUCUGGUUAAGGCCCAAAGGAAGAAUCAGCAGAUCCCCGCCUUGUGCAGGGGGGACCUUGCCUCAGUGGGCUCCCAUGCAGGUGAAAGGUCAGACCAGCGGAGGUCCGUCUAUAUUUGUGGCCCCGUGAGCUCCCUGAUGCGAAGGCUGACCAGGGGCUCCUGCCCCGGUCACUGGCCAGAGGUCUAAGACACAGAGCCGACUCUCGAGCAUCUUACUUUUAAGUCUAGGAGCCCCGGGCCCAAACACGGACCCUCUCGGGGGCUCAGCACUGGGACAGACAGAAGCCCUCGUUUGCACACGCAGCCUAGAAACCCCGCUAGCUGUUCCCGAUUUGGGCAUUGGCCGAGUGCAGGCUCCAAAUUUAUCCGGGGACAAAAGAGGACACCCCUCCUGUCCGGGCCUUCGUGGCCGUCCCACAGACAAUUCACCCACUCUGGACAGGCUGGGAGAAUGUGUCGAGAGGAGGAGUUUUUAGCAUGAAGGACUAAAACCCAGCUGGGCCAAAUAUAAAAUGCAAAAAACAAUCAAGACAUCCAGGAGAACAGCAGGCGGAAGGCAAGGAAAGGGGAGUGUGGAAAGGAGUGGCCAGCACACACGGGACAAGUUGGGCCAUCGGCUCGGGUGCUCUGAGGAUUGGGGUCUGGGGGCUUUAGUUUGAGCCAGGGCAGGCCCCUUAGAUAGAUCUGUGUCUCCCGAGGCCAGGGAGAAAAAAGAGGGCAGGGGACACCUAUGGUUUAAGUCAGAAGAAAAAUCAGGUGAGAUCCAGGAAACAAAGUCGGGUUCCUCAGGGAGUCUGGGAAAGCCAGACUUAGGCAGGAGCAGCUUCUGGGGUCAGACAGAGGAGUCCAGGGGCAAGUCCGCAACCCAGCCACCCCAGUGGGAUAACGACACAGUGCUUGGCGCAUAGUGCUUACUGACUGAUUCUCUAAUUAAGCCUGUGUCUGGCCAGAUUUGGGAUACUCAGAACAGCCAAAGGCAAACACAUGGGAGGGGGUCUGUUGGGCCUGGGUCUCCUACUCUCAAAAACUACGAUGAAAGGCUUGAGAAAUGCAGCGUCGAUGGCACUGUCAGUGAUGGCUCAGCUGGCGAGGCGCAAAACAGGGAACCCUUGAGGGGGAGCGGUCACUGUCUCCAAGGUGACGGCCCCAGGAAGAAGCCAUCUUUGCCUCCUUUUGCAUCUCUUUUGUGUCUUUUUUGCUUGGCACACAGUAGGUGCUUAUUAUUUAAUACAUCAUAGCCAGGAGCUAAUGGACGUGUGCUGGAGAGCUAACUCAUCUCUUCCCCAAUGGAUAGCCCCGUCGGGAGUCCCCAAAACUGAUCCCCGCUCCUCCCCUUAUCCAUCCUCAAAUGCCAUAACUCCCAGCUGGCGGCAGCCUCAGACUCACCUUGCCUAGAUUGAGCUCCUCAUAGGGGUCAGGAAAGCCAGUGAAUUCUCUGGGACUGCCAUAAAGGUUGACGUAGCAAGGUCCAAAGGUGGGGAGGAAACCCAGCCCGUCGUCAACUGGGAAGCCACAGGAGAGAAACCGUCAGGGGGAAACGGAGAGAGCGGCCCACCACCUGACUUUGGCCAGGCUCCCGUCACCGCCAGUCCGGAGAACCUAGCACCCCCACCCUCACUCUCCACCCCUGACCCUUAGCCACCAAGCUCAUUCUCCCUCCUUGGCCUUGACCCCCGAUCUCUAUCCCCGAGUCUGAAUCACCAGCUUUUGUUGCUUUCUCCUCCCCCAGGCCCUGGGCUCCACCCAAUACUAAAUUUCAGUCUCCAUGGAAUCCUAGCUUGGUCACCUCAGGCUGUCCCUGCCCUGCGUCCCAUGCAAACCCCUCCCUUUGGGCUCAUUGCCCUCCAGGCUUUGGGGUCAGCUGGAGAAACUGUUAAAGAAAAUGAUGCUAAUUUCAGAUUUCAGGCCAGAUCCAGCCCCAAAGGCCACGCUACAGGGCCAGAUGGUCAGCGGCCUAAGGAAAGACUGCAUCCUACUCCUAGGAAAAAGGAGGGGCUCUCUACCCCUCAGGGUCUAGAGGGUCAUGGUCUCUUGCUCCCUAGGAGAAAGGGGAGGAAGAAAAGCAAAGUCAUCCAAUCUCAACAUCAGUUCUAGUCUCUGGUUUAGGUUAAUUGGGUUAACCUCCAGGUUAAGAAUAAAGUUGAAACAAAUUUUAAAGAUAAAAUAAAUGUUAGGAGCAGAUACUCUUUCUUCUAUACUAUUUCUUUGGUGUUGGAAAAAAUUUCCAACUAACGCUCGUUACUUUUUCAUCUAUUCAUUCAUUUUCAGCCUGGGGCUUUAGCUGCAACAUUCUAGAAGCUCAUAUGGACCAGGUUUCCCCUUCAUUGAGAGAACAGUUGUAAGGGAAAGCCAUGAUCCAUGUCAUCGAUCCCAAGGGCAGAAAAGGGUCGCAAUUGGAACAUCCUCAUAUAGAGAAGGUUAAAUCGAUGACUUUGGAAGGAAAGUCUAAAGGAAACUUAAUCAGAAAUCAGAAAAAUGGUCGAAAGUGGGACAUCGGGUAGAAAGUAACAGCUACUUUUAGUGUUAUUAUUAGCUGCCACUGUUGCUGAGAAGAGGAAGAGGCCGUGGAGGCUGUCAUGAUAGGAAUCCCAGCUUUCGGCCACCAAGAACCACGCUGCGCUCCCCGUGGGAAGAAUAGGAAGGCCCGGGGCGCUGUGCCCGGGCUGACAUGGUCAGGGUUAAGGGCCUGCUGUCCGGGAGAGACUAAUUUAAUCCUAAGGGCGGGAGCCACGGCUGCUCCCAAGAAGCCGAGAUUCCCCUAAAUACUGAGACAGUGUCCACUCCCCCAGACCAGAGGUCUCCUUAAGGGCGAGGACUUUGCCUCUGUCCGGUGGGCAGCGACAAGGGAAGGAGGGUCUGGCAUGGAUCACUCCCAGCCUUCCAGGGGCCCUGGGAAUGGUCGUCCCAAGGGAUGGUUCAGUACUGUUGGUCGUGGCCAUCUGCUGAGGGAAAGGUGGAGCUAAGGGGGACCUGGGGCAUCGGGGGAGGGAGGCCCGCGGCCUCAGGAAAAGCCCCAGCACAUGGUGACUGGUCAGACAGCAGAGAGGGCCUGGCUUACGGCAUUAAUGUCACCUUUAUAAGUCCGAUCAGGUCCCCAUCCCCCAGGGGCAUUGGUCACUGGCCGGGGGAAUUCCUGCCCUCUCGGGCCCAGAGGCCGCCCCAUCCUGGCCACACAGCCAUGCCACUUGGUGAAGGUCAGCCCAGAGAUGGGAAUCCCAUUAACUUCCAUCUGGACCCUAAAACCUCAGGCGACCAGAUUCACCGAGGGGGAGAAUGGAAUUACCAUAAGGGAACUGCAAGCGAUUUGGGGGCUCCCCAGAGGGUCCCAGAGGCACAAUCCUGCCUCCUUUCCUACCCUGACCCAAGAGGAUAAGUUGUGAGCUCCUUGCGGGACCCAACUGGUCCCUUUCUCCUUUAUUGCAGCUGUUUCUGUUCCCAGCGUUUACAUAGACCAGGGGUCCUCAAACUUUUUAAAUAGGGGGCCAGUUCACUGUCCCUCAGACUGUUGGAGGGCCAGACUAUACUAAAAACAAAACCUUUGUUUUGUGGGACUUUAAAUAAAGAAAUUUCAUAGCCCCGGGGGAGGGGGGAUAGUCGUCUUCAGCUGCCGCAUCUGGCCCACGGGUCGUAGUUUGAGGACCCCUGACAUAGACUGUCCCAAUGAGCAGGACCUGCCCCGGGCCCAUAAGUAGAGAAAAAAGGACACUGGGUGGAAAGGGCAGGGGAGGAGGGACAAAAUUCCUAUUUAAUCACGUACUUCUCUCCCCUGUUAGGAUGAAAGCUUCCUGGGAGGAGGGAUUUUAAUUCGUUGCACUCAGGACCUGGCCCACAGUCGGUGCUUGAUGGAUGACUGGGGUCCCUGCCUCCUGCCCGGACCACCCUACCCUGAGAAGAGCAUCGCCCAGCACCCCACCUGCCCGGAGCCCCAAAGAGCCCCGGCCCAGGAACCCCCCUCCCUGGCGGGAGGCAAGCAACGUACGGUCGGAGGCACGGAGAGAGCUUCAGAGGAAGGAUCUCCGCCCGGGCCCUCAUCUCCCGCGGCCGCUGUUCUCUCCGCUGCCCUUCACACUCACCCGUCCCUACCCUUUCCCUUGGUUUUACAGUAGAGUCACCAGGGCUGAAGAAGUCCCGCCUAUGCCCCCAGGAGAGCCCAGAUUUGCACCCGGCUCCCGGCUCCCACCUUUGAUGGCUUUUCCAGGCUUCUCAGGCAGGGAGAGUGGGAAGCCAGCAGCGCAAUAACCUUUUUGCGUCCUGCCCUCCUCUGGCAAGCGGUCCCAGAAGGCCCGGAGCCUUCCUCGGAAGGAUGCUUUAAAAUGCCCCAAAUAAAAUCCUCAGCAUCACCAAGGAAACCCACUGUGUGGGAAUACGGUUACCAAAAUACUGAAAAACAAGCUCCGGG
ensembl:lncRNA